AACUUUUAACUGUAUUUUCACCUGCUGUUUUAUAUACUGAUUAUUACGGCGAAGUUAGGGCUUUAUUUGUAUAUAUUUACUACUGGUAAUUUAAAUUAAUUCGAAUGUAUUCUAGCAAUGUUUCGUGGUAAAGGCUGGUUUUCAGGCGGAAUGUGGAAACCAAAAAACCCUCACUCAUUAGAGCAUCUUAAAUAUCUGUAUCAUAUUCUGUAUAAAAAUCAAAUUGUUCAUGAUCAAAACAAAGGUUUAUUGGUCGAAACCCUGCGAUCAAUUGCUGAAAUUCUUAUAUGGGGUGACCAGAAUGAUAGCACAGUUUUCGAUUUUUUCUUAGAAAAGAAUAUGCUUUCUUUUUUUCUGAAGAUUAUGAAGCAGAAGUGUGGACGAUAUGUGUGUGUGCAGUUACUCCAGACCUUAAAUAUUUUAUUUGAAAACAUUCGAAAUGAAACAUCUCUGUAUUAUCUUCUCUCAAAUAAUCAUGUGAAUUCUAUCAUUGUUCAUAAAUUUGACUUUUCUGAUGAAGAAGUUAUGGCCUAUUAUAUAUCAUUCCUAAAGACUUUGUCAUUUAAACUAAAUACUCAUACUAUACAUUUUUUCUAUAAUGAGCACACAAAUGAUUUCCCACUUUAUAAUGAGGCUAUAAAGUUUUUCAAGCACAGUGAAAGUAUGGUCAGAAUAGCUGUAAGAACUUUGACGUUAAAUGUUUUUAAAGUGGAUGAUAAAGCAAUGUUAAAAUUUAUUCGUGACAAAACUGCAGCUCCUUAUUUUUCUAAUCUUGUGUGGUUUAUUAAAGAACAUGUUACAGAAUUGGAUAAAUGUGUAAAUGCUUCUGAGUUCCAAGUUCAAACAAAACUUGCUGAUUUGGUAGCUGAACAUUUGGAUCAUCUUCAUUAUUUAAAUGAUAUACUUUGCCUGCAGAUAGAGGCUUUGAAUGAUGUUCUAACAGAUCACCUUCUCAAUAAACUAUUGAUUCCUGUUUAUGUAUAUUCAUUGGUUCAGAAUGGACAGAAUGCUAGUUCAGAGGAAGAAAAACCACGAGUAAGCUGUAUUGUUUCUCUCUUUUUGCUGUCUCAGGUCUUUUUGAUCGUAUCCCAUCGACCUUUGGUUCAGCAGCUUGCCAGUGUGAUAUUAAAUGGAGAAAUGUCUUUAUUUGAUCCUACAAAUACAUCACCUUGUGAAACUGCUUCAGCACCAUCUGGAGAAGUAGUAAAUGGACCCCAGUCAAAUUCAAAUGAAGCUUUACCAGGAGACCAACAGAAAGGUUCAGAAAGUAUAGAUGAUUAUUCAAAUGAAAGUAGCUUGGAAGGACUAUCUGAAGGCUCAAAUAUUACAGAUGAAGAAAAGGUAGUAGCCGCAAAGAAAUCUAAUCAGUAUGAAAUGAUGCAAAAAAGUUUUACUCUUUCUAAUAGACCUUUUUUAGAAGCUGUCUUUUCUGCAUUAGAUUGCAGUGAAAAUGACCAUGCAGCCUUAUUUUCAUUAUGUGUCUUAUAUGCACUAGGACAUAACCCUGAAUUAUUUACUCCCUCAAGCAUUUACCCGACAUAUAUAUUGUUCCUCUUAUGGCUUAUCAGUUCAGUAUACCAUUGUUCAGAAGCCUGGGAAAAGUCUUCAGCUGAAUGACUUCAUAAGAUAAAAGCAUGACAUAUGUAUCAAUCAAGAACUCCUAGAUUCAGUUCUUAUGCCUUCUAAUAAAUCUGAAAUUAAAUUUUGCUACAAUGUGAAUCUGGUUGAGAGGAUGUUGCAGAUUAUAAGUUUGA
rnacentral:misc_RNA from 1 species